CAAUAGCGUAUAUUAAAGUUGUUGCGGUUAAAAAGCUCGUAGUUGGAUUUCUGCUGAGAACGACCGGUCCGCCCAUUGGGUGUGUAUCUGGCUCUUUCUUGGCAUCUUCUUGGUGAACGUUACUGCACUUGACUGUGUGGAGCGCUACCCAGGACUUUUACUUUGAGGAAAUUAGAGUGUUUCAAGCAGGCAUACGCCUUGAAUACGUUAGCAUGGAAUAAUAAGAUAGGACCUCGGUUCUAUUUUGUUGGUUUCUAGAGCUGAGGUAAUGAUUAAUAGGGAUAGUUGGGGGCAUUCGUAUUUAACUGUCAGAAGUGAAAUUCUUGGAUUUGUUAAAGACGGACUACUGCGAAAGCAUUUGCCAAGGAUGUUUUCAUUGA
rnacentral:rRNA from 1 species